rnacentral:rRNA from 1 species
GACGAACGCUGGCGGCGUGCUUAACACAUGCAAGUCGAACGGAAAGGCCCUGCUUUUGUGGGGUGCUCGAGUGGCGAACGGGUGAGUAACACGUGAGUAACCUGCCCUUGACUUUGGGAUAACUUCAGGAAACUGGGGCUAAUACCGGAUAGGAGCUCCUGCUGCAUGGUGGGGGUUGGAAGAUUCGGCGGUUGGGGAUGGACUCGCGGCUUAUCAGCUUGUUGGAGGGGUAGUGGCUUACCAAGGCUUUGACGGGUAGCCGGCCUGAGAGGGUGACCGGCCACAUUGGGACUGAGAUACGGCCCAGACUCCUACGGGAGGCAGCAGUGGGGAAUAUUGCACAAUGGGCGGAAGCCUGAUGCAGCAACGCCGCGUGCGGGAUGACGGCCUUCGGGUUGUAAACCGCUUUCGCCUGUGACGAAGCGUGAGUGACGGUAAUGGGUAAAGAAGCACCGGCUAACUACGUG